rnacentral:rRNA from 1 species
AUUCUGGCUCAGGAUGAACGCUAGCUACAGGCUUAACACAUGCAAGUCGAGGGGCAGCAUGUUGGUUGCUUGCAACCAAUGAUGGCGACCGGCGCACGGGUGAGUAACGCGUAUCCAACCUUCCCCUUAGUAGAGGAUAGCCCGGCGAAAGUCGGAUUAAUACUCUAUGUUCUUCAAUGCGGACAUCUAAGUUGAAGCAAAGAUUUUAUCGCUAAGGGAUGGGGAUGCGUCUGAUUAGGUUGCAGGCGGGGUAACGGCCCACCUGGCCUACGAUCAGUAGGGGUUCUGAGAGGAAGGUCCCCACACUGGUACUGAGACACGGACCAGACUCCUACGGGAGGCAGCAGUGAGGAAUAUUGGUCAAUGGGCGCGAGCCUGAACCAGCCAAGUAGCGUGCAAGGACGACUGCCCUAUGGGUUGUAAACUGCUUUUAUCAGGGAAUAAAGUGAGGCACGCGUGCCUUUUUGUAUGUACCUGAUGAAUAAGGACCGGCUAAUUCCGUGCCAGCCGCAGC